GGAGGAUCAAGUCCACGUAGUUCUUAAUAAUAAUAUAUCCACUUUCUAAAACUAGGCCCAUUCAAUGGUCAACUAAAAGAGCAAGUCUUACAUUCUUAAUUCCAUUCCCAAAAUAUCCUCAAAAUUGUUUUACAAAUUCAUUGAUGUAACCCCUAAAAUUAGAAUUAAUGCCUUGUCAAAGACAAAAAAAAAAUUCUAAAUAAUAUAGCUAAAUUUCAAAAGGAACAAAAUUAUACUUUAAAACUACUAAUAGAGCCAGUAAUUCAAUUACUUGUUCUAAACAAACACAAGGUUACAAGGCUACCAGCAAUACAUAAAUAAAUACACAAAUUAAACUCCCUGAGCUAUUAUUUAUAUAAAUCAUCAAAUAUGGAACAAUCUAAAUCCAUUCCAAAAUCAAGCAGUGUAAUGAAACAAAUUGAAUUGAUCUAUAUAGUUACAAAUCAAGGAGAAGACAAAAAUGUCGGCAAGAACCUUCUAUCUAAUAUCCCAUUUCAUGAUCUAUCACAACCCCACACAAGAGAGAAUAUAACUUCUUGUUUUCUCUCAAUGAAUUCAAACUCUGACAACCAAUUAAAUUUUUAAUAGCAUUUCAAAAUAAACAGGAGCUCCCUAAAAUUUCAAACCAACAAUGACUGGGACCAACACUAUUCUUACACUCAACAAAAUUAACCAAUAUCACACAUGAUAAUAAUAACACAAUUAAAUUUUAAAUCUGCAUAAAUAUAGCUUCUCACUGGACAAUGUGUCAAACAGUAUUAUUAUUAUUAUUAUUAUU
rnacentral:misc_RNA from 1 species